rfam:Manacus vitellinus contig45734, whole genome shotgun sequence.
AUUAAGGCCUUUUUUGAGGCCACCUGUAGUGACCAAAACAUUUUG